rnacentral:rRNA from 1 species
AACGAACGCUGGCGGCAUGCCUAACACAUGCAAGUCGAACGAGACCUUCGGGUCUAGUUGCGCACGGGUGCGUAACGCGUGGGAACCUGCCCUUAGGUUCGGAAUAACUCCCCGAAAGGGGUGCUAAUACCGGAUAAUGUCUUCGGACCAAAGAUUUAUCGCCUUUGGAUGGGCCCGCGUUGGAUUAGCUAGUUGGUAGGGUAAAAGCCUACCAAGGCGACGAUCCAUAGCUGGUCUGAGAGGAUGAUCAGCCACACUGGGACUGAGACACGGCCCAGACUCCUACGGGAGGCAGCAGUGGGGAAUAUUGGACAAUGGGCGAAAGACUGAUCCAGCAAUGCCGCGUGAGUGAUGAAGGCGUUAGGGUUGUAAAGCUCUUUUACCCGGGAUGAUAAUGACAGUACCGGGAGAAUAAGCUCCGGCUAACUCCGUG